GAUGAACGCUGGCGGCGUGCCUAAUACAUGCAAGUCGAGCGAAUGGAUUGAGAGCUUGCUCUUAUGAAGUUAGCGGCGGACGGGUGAGUAACACGUGGGUAACCUGCCCAUAAGACUGGGAUAACUCCGGGAAACCGGGGCUAAUACCGGAUAACAUUUUGAACCGCAUGGUUCGAAAUUGAAAGGCGGCUUCGGCUGUCACUUAUGGAUGGACCCGCGUCGCAUUAGCGAGUUGGUGAGGUAACGGCUCACCAAGGCAACGAUGCGUAGCCGACCUGAGAGGGUGAUCGGCCACACUGGGACUGAGACACGGCCCAGACUCCUACGGGAGGCAGCAGUAGGGAAUCUUCCGCAAUGGACGAAAGUCUGACGGAGCGACGCCGCGUGAGUGAUGAAGGCUUUCGGGUCGUAAAACUCUGUUGUUAGGGAAGAACAAGUGCUAGUUGAAUAAGCUGGCACCUUGACGGUACCUAACCAGAAAGCCACGGCUAACUACGUGCCAGCCGCCGCCGUAA
rnacentral:rRNA from 1 species